CUCUCAUUCUGCAUCUUAAUGGCAAUAUAAAAUGACCAGCACUUCUGCAGCAGAUUACAGGGUCACAUCUCCAUUACCAAGGGGAAUGCAGAAGGCAGAAUAUUGCAGGACUGUCCCACACAAGGUAGAAAAGUGGCAGCAUUUCUCUCUGACCUGCAGGACAGUGUUGUGAAGAUGACAGUCUUUCCAUAGGACCUGUUGGGACCCUCUCCACUAACCUCACCAGGAGCUGCACAAAUACUGAUGCUGCUUUAUUGGUUUAUGACUAAUUGAAAAUCGGAUUCAUGCCUGAAGUUUUCUACCACUGCCUCUCCGUGGAUGAACCCAAGCUGCACCCUCACUGGAUGACU